AUUGAACGCUGGCGGCAUGCCUUACACAUGCAAGUCGAACGGCAGCACGGGAGCAAUCCUGGUGGCGAGUGACGAACGGGUGAGUAAUAUAUCGGAACGUGCCCAGUCGUGGGGGAUAACGCAGCGAAAGCUGUGCUAAUACCGCAUACGAUCUACGGAUGAAAGCGGGGGAUCGCAAGACCUCGCUGGAUUGGAACGGCCGAUAUCAGAUUAGCUAGUUGGUGAGGUAAAGGCUCACCAAGGCGACGAUCUGUAGCUGGUCUGAGAGGACGACCAGCCACACUGGAACUGAGACACGGUCCAGACUCCUACGGGAGGCAGCAGUGGGGAAUUUUGGACAAUGGGCGCAAGCCUGAUCCAGCAAUGCCGCGUGCAGGAUGAAGGCCUUCGGGUUGUAAACUGCUUUUGUACGGAACGAAACGGUGAGCUCUAAUACAGUUUGCUAAUGACGGUACCGAAAGAAUAAGCACCGGCUAACUACGUGCCAGCCGCCGCAGUAAGAC
rnacentral:rRNA from 1 species